rnacentral:lncRNA from 1 species
UUUGUCUCAAAAAAAUACCAAAAACCAAAAACAACAAAAACAAAAAACAUCAAAAGACUAUGAGAAACAGUGAUUGGAUGUUUGGGGUGUGGAUAUCGGAAUCUGGAGCUGGGGACAGGUGUGUCAUUUGAUAGUCCCUUUUGAGAACCACUGUUGAUCUAAAGCUAUUCCAGUUCCCUAGGGGAUUGCUAAUAACCGGUGCAGCUGCUGAGACAGGGAAAGGGGCCUAAUUCCUUUUGCAAAACAAGGAGCAAUAUUUAUAUGAGAACUCAGUACAUUUCAUCACAUAAAAAUUGCAAAACGCCAGGCUCUGUCAUUUUUAAACUAAUAUUUUUGGGAGUCCACCAAACAGUCUCUAAGAUGGAACUGAUUGUGAAUAUGCUGGUGCCAGGUGCAAUGGCUCACACCUGUAAUCCCAGCUACUUGGGAGGCUGAGGUGGGAGGAUCACCUGAAGCCAGGAGUUCGAGGCCAGCCUGGGCCUCUCUAAAAAAAAAAAAGCUGUAAGUCAAAUGAUAUAGCCUCUAGAAGCCACAGUUUGCUCAUUUACAAACUGGAGGAGAAUAAGAUGAGAAUUGUCUGAUAUUGAGGAUCAGAAAGUGCUUCAUGAUGCAUAAAGCAGGUAAUGGAUUAUCAAUGCUUUGCUGCUCAGACACACAGCAAUGGGUUCAUACCAUUCUGAGAGUCUAAAUUUAGGACGUGGUGUGACCAAAAUUACCAGUAAUUAAGUUUCUUAUGUUUCUGAGGCUCUGCUUCCUCAUCUGUACACUGUGGCAAGACCUUGUUCUGACUAUGCACUGAGGAUAAAAUAAGGCCUUUUGAAAAAGAUGAUGACACUGACCACUAAUUAAUGAUUUCAAUGUUCCCGUCCAAGGUCAGGCAAAAGCAAUGCAGAGCCAUAGAGAAUGUUGGUGCAACACUGCCCUCUGCUGGUCAGUAGCAGCACCACCAUGGUUACAGAGAGGAAAAGGUCUUUACAAAGGGAUUCCUGGGAAACUGAGGCAGAGAGUGGAAGGGAUUUGCUCAAGGGCACAGAGUUAGCUUUGGACAAAGUGAUGGCUCGAAUCUGAGAUUCCUAAUUCCUAGUUCUUUCUAGAGGGAGAAAAAUAAGGGCUGGAAACUAGUGGAUUGUCGUUUCACUCUCACUAGGCUCUGCACGGCAUUUUAAAUAGGCUGAUUGGAAUUUCUCUCUCCUGUUCUUCCCUUGCCACCCAAACUGCUCGGGUUUCUUGUCCUUUUCUUCAUACCAGGAUAACCAUCUGUGUGGCCCCAUAAGGCCCAAAGUCCUCUUGGGUGCUGCCGGAGGUCCAACAACCAGUAAAGCACGGAAGCUGGGAUCUGAACACUCACUUGAGACCCCAAGGCCCACAAUCUAUUUGCCACCAAAAAACAAGACAAAGCAAAACACCAUGACAGGAAAACCGAGUUGCAGACAAAUGAAAGUGACUUACCUCAGGGCCUUUGCAUGUGACAUCCUCUCUGCCUGGAAUGCUCUUCUCAGAUAUCACCUUGGCAUCCCCCAUCACCUUCUUAAGGUCUUCACUUAAAAGUCAUCAUCUGGCCGGGCGCGGUGGCUCACCCUGUAAUCUCAGCACUUUGGGUAGGCCAAGGACUGGAUCCUGGACCUGCCCCUGGGACUUGCGGAAGGGGACAGCUCAAUCUGAGCCAUAUCAACUGAGAACACAGGAAGCAUGGUCCUACCAAGAGAUGUCUAUUCCAGGUAUGGUGGAGCCUCAGAGGACAGCAUGACUCUCGUUCAGCUGGUGGAUCAGGGAAUGGUCCAAUAAGCCACAGCUGUGGAUAUGAAGAUCUUGUGAAAUCAGUGACCUCUGGGUCAUGUAGAAACCCAGCACAUUCCCACAGGACACAGCCUAGCAGUUGAUCAGAGCAGUAGUUCAUACCUGAGACCCUGGAUUUUCAGACCCUCCCCCAGGCCCCACCAGCCUCUGUCAGUGCCAAGCUGGACGGAACAAACCACAUGAGGUGGGCAGAACCAAGGUGCCCUCCCUACACCUUCCUGGGGCCUCCAGCGAUCCUGAGCUCAGCCUCCUGACCUGCAGACCCCUCAGCUCUGGCCCUCACGUCCUGCUUGCUGUACCUGCUUUAUCCCAUAUCACCAUCUCCAUUCCUCAGCAUAGUGACAAUCCCAGUUCCUACCCAUUCCACUGGCUUCUCCAUUUGGCUUGGAGCUCUUUAGCUGGAUUGAGACGACUACUCUGAUGAGUGCCAUGUCACUGGCUCAACAAAAUGGGCCCAAGUGAGUCAAUGUCAUUGACAUGAAGGUGCUGUCAGUUUGGUGGGAACCAAGGGAAUGAGACUGUGUUUUAGCUGCGUUCGUUUGAACAGUUACACACUUAGGGCUUCUUAUGCGGAUGCUCAGAGAGAAAUAUGGAAGACGAGAUCUCGUAGAAAACAAGAAGACAUGUUGUAAAUGAGUCAGGCCUCCUGGAGUCCAGGACUAGGGAGGAACUCUUUAUUGAGGAUCACUCGAGGGAGUCUUGGGGCUGGUGGUCUUCACGCCACAGCCCCAUAACUCAGCUCCUCUCUUCCUUCUCUCAGUCUCUCUGCUUCUGUUUUUUGUCUCAUGUCCUAAAUGUCCAACUAUUCAGCAUAACUUUAUUCUGCUUCCCCUCUCUAUCCUCUGUAGCAAAAUGCACUGUUGGAAUUACAUUUUUAUUUUUAUUUUUAUUUU